rnacentral:rRNA from 1 species
CAAUAGCGUAUAUUAAAGUUGUUGCAGUUAAAAAGCUCGUAGUUGGAUUGAGAGCCCGUGUUUGUGCGGUCUGCCGGGACGGUGUGCACUGCCUUACAUCAGGGUUUUUUAUUCGUUCGACAGUCCCCGUCUGCUCUUCAUUGAGUGGGCGGUGUUUUGGCUUCGGACCGUUUACUGUGAAAAAAUUAGAGUGUUCAAAGCAGGCAUACUCGCCUUGAAUACAUUAGCAUGGGAUAAUGGAAUAGGACCUCGGUUCUAUUUUGUUGGUUUCUAGAUCGGAGGUAAUGAUUAACAGGGAUAGUUGGGGGCGUUUAUAUUUAAUUGUCAGAGGUGAAAUUCUUGGAUUUCUGAAAGAUAAACUGCUGCGAAAGCGUUCGCCAAGGAUGUUUUCAUUAA